UGGCAAUAAGGACAAGGAAGUGCCACUUUGUCAUUACUUUAGAGAGGAGAGCAGCUCAACUCAGGCAUCACUAGGAACGCGUGCAGCCGUGGGCAGUACCAAGGAGAGCAAUACAAGCAUCCAUGAGACCUGUCACAUAAAACAGUGCAAAGAUGCAGCCGUACGGGUUCCGAAGGAGCUGUUUGAUGCAAAAGUGGGAGACAAGGAAAACUUGCAUCACUCUCCAGGCCUUCUCACCAAAUGU